AUGAUCCUCCUACCUCAGCCUCCCAAGUAGCUAAGACUACAGAAUGGCAAAGAUUGAAAAGACCAAUAAGACCUAUUUUCUGGGAGGAUGCAAGAAAAUACAAUUUCAUAACAGAGGGCGAAAAUUUCUGGAGGCUGGGAAGUCCAAGAAAAAGGUGCCAGGUGAUUCAGUUCCUGGUGAUGGCUCUUCUCCUGGCUUGUAGACAGCUGCCUUCUUGCUGCAUACUCACCUGGCAACGAGUGAGAGUGAGGAGAAGGAGUAGAGAAGAUGAGAAGGAGGAAGGGAAGAGCAGAGCAGGAGGAGGGGGAGAUCUCUUCCUUUUCUUCUAAGGUCACCAAUCUUAUUGUUUUAAGACCCCAACCUUAUGACCUUCUUUAUCUCCUAAAAGCACUAUCUGCAAAUAGAAUCACAGUGGGAGACAGGUUCCAACAUACAUGUAUGAAUGGGGACAUAAUUCAUUGCAACAGAUAAUUCAUGGACAUAAUUCAUAGCAACAGAUUACCAUGGGAAUUAAGGAAAAACACGACAUGAUUUCUAAUUAAUCAAUGACA